AUCUAAGUACCCCGAGGAAAAGAAAUCAACCGAGAUUCCCCCAGUAGCGGCGAGCGAACGGGGAGGAGCCCAGAGCCUGAAUCAGCAUGUGUGUUAGUGGAAGCGUCUGGAAAGGCGCGCGAUACAGGGUGACAGCCCCGUACACAAAAGCGCAUGUGUUGUGAGCUCGAUGAGUAGGGCGGGACACGUGGUAUCCUGUCUGAAUAUGGGGGGACCAUCCUCCAAGGCUAAAUACUCCUGACUGACCGAUAGUGAACCAGUACCGUGAGGGAAAGGCGAAAAGAACCCCGGCGAGGGGAGUGAAAAAGAACCUGAAACCGUGUACGUACAAGCAGUGGGAGCACAGGUUUACCUGUGUGACUGCGUACCUUUUGUAUAAUGGGUCAGCGACUUAUAUUCUGUAGCAAGGUUAACCGUAUAGGGGAGCCGAAGGGAAACCGAGUCUUAACCGGGCGUUAAGUUGCAGGGUAUAGACCCGAAACCCGGUGAUCUAGCCAUGGGCAGGUUGAAGGUUGGGUAACACUAACUGGAGGACCGAACCGACUAAUGUUGAAAAAUUAGCGGAUGACCUGUGGCUGGGGGUGAAAGGCCAAUCAAACCGGGAGAUAGCUGGUUCUCCCCGAAAGCUAUUUAGGUAGCGCCUCGUGAAUUCAUCUCCGGGGGUAGAGCACUGUUUCGGCUAGGGGGCCAUCCCGGCUUACCAACCCGAUGCAAACUGCGAAUACCGGAGAAUGUUAUCACGGGAGACACACGGCGGGUGCUAACGUCCGUCGUGAAGAGGGAAACAACCCAGACCGCCAGCUAAGGUCCCAAAGUCAUGGUUAAGUGGGAAACGAUGUGGGAAGGCCCAGACAGCCAGGAUGUUGGCUUAGAAGCAGCCAUCAUUUAAAGAAAGCGUAAUAGCUCACUGGUCGAGUCGGCCUGCGCGGAAGAUGUAACGGGGCUAAACCAU
rnacentral:rRNA from 1 species